AGUACUCACACCAGUAAUUCAGGGAGCUUCU
rnacentral:piRNA from 1 species